rnacentral:rRNA from 1 species
UUGAGCAGCAUACCACCCUGCAUCCCACUGCUGGCUUGCCUCUGAAGCUAAGGAGGGUUGGUCCUGGAUGGGAGACCAGAUGCUGCUGGAA